CCCUGGAAUCGAACCCUGGUC
rnacentral:miRNA from 1 species